AACGGGUGAGUAAUACAUAAGUAACCGUGCCCUAGACAGGGGGAUAACUAUUGGAACGAUAGCUAAGACCGCAUAGGUACGGACACUGCAUGGUGACCGUAUUAAAAGUGCCUCAAAGCACUGGUAGAGGAUGGACUUAUGGCGCAUUAGCUGGUUGGCGGGGUAACGGCCCACCAAGGCGACGAUGCGUAGCCGACCUGAGAGGGUGACCGGCCACACUGGGACUGAGACACGGCCCAGACUCCUACGGGAGGCAGCAUG
rnacentral:rRNA from 1 species